CAACUCUCUCUGCUCAUUCUUUCAGCAAACUUGCCACUCAGUCACACACCGCUCUCUUUCUGUGCUUCUAAACCCUCACAGAGAAGCAGAAGCUCUUUCUUCUCCUAUCCUACCAUCUCCUUCCUCGUCCCUUUUCAUCUUUAAACUCAAAAUCCAUUUUAUUGGACAUAGAAAACAAGAAAAAAAAAAAAGGAAAAUCGAUUAUGGCUCAUGGGAAGAUCAAGGUCGUCAACCCCAUCGUUGAGAUGGAUGGAGAUGAAAUGACUCGGGUUUUCUGGAAAUCAAUCAAGGAUAAGCUUAUUUUCCCCUUUGUGGAGUUGGAUAUAAAAUACUUUGACCUUGGCCUUCCUCAUCGUGAUGCCACUGAUGAUAAAGUUACAGUUGAAAGUGCAGAGGCUACCCUUAAGUACAAUGUAGCAAUCAAGUGUGCAACAAUAACUCCAGAUGAAGCUCGUGUGAAGGAGUUUAACUUGAAGCAGAUGUGGAAGAGUCCAAAUGGGACAAUUAGGAAUAUUUUAAAUGGCACUGUUUUCAGAGAACCAAUUAUUUGCAAGAAUGUCCCUCGGCUUGUCCCAGGUUGGUCAAAGCCAAUAUGCAUUGGAAGGCAUGCUUUUGGUGAUCAAUAUCGAGCAACUGAUACAGUUAUUAAAGGAGCUGGCAAACUCAAAUUGGUUUUCGUACCUGAAGGACAGGAAGAGAAGACUGAGUUAGAGGUUUUCAACUUUAAAGGUGAAGGGGGGGUGGCAUUGUCCAUGUAUAACACUGAUGAGUCAAUCAGGGCUUUUGCUGAGGCAUCUAUGAACACUGCUUACCAGAAAAAAUGGCCACUUUAUCUUAGCACAAAAAAUACCAUCCUUAAGAAGUAUGAUGGAAGAUUCAAGGACAUUUUUCAGGAAGUCUAUGAGGCCAACUGGAAGUCAAAGUUUGAGGCUGCUGGAAUAUGGUAUGAACAUCGGCUCAUUGAUGAUAUGGUGGCUUAUGCUCUCAAGAGUGAAGGUGGUUAUGUAUGGGCAUGCAAGAACUAUGAUGGAGAUGUGCAGAGUGAUUUCUUAGCCCAAGGUUUCGGAUCGCUUGGAUUGAUGACAUCUGUACUGGUGUGUCCCGAUGGAAAGACUAUUGAAGCAGAGGCAGCCCAUGGUACUGUUACUCGACAUUACAGGGUUCAUCAGAAAGGUGGUGAAACCAGCACAAACAGUAUAGCUUCUAUCUUUGCAUGGUCACGAGGUCUUACACACAGGGCUAAGUUGGAUGACAAUGCUAGACUCUUGGAUUUCACCCAGAAGCUUGAAGCAGCAUGUAUUGAAACAGUGGAGUCUGGCAAGAUGACCAAGGAUCUUGCAUUGAUUAUUCAUGGACCCAAGGUUACUCGGGACCAGUAUCUCAAUACUGAAGAAUUCAUUGAUGCUGUGGCAGCAGGGCUGAAAGCAAAACUUGGCAUCGAAGCGUAAUUGUAUGUGGAUACUCACUAGCUUCUCUUAGCAGUGGAAUGAUAUUAAUGCUGCAAUUUCUGCAUUGUCGUAGAGGUGGCCACUAAUAGCUUCUCUUUGCCUGCAAAAUAAUUUUAGCUACGAAGCUUUCUUGGAUAAUUUAUUUUGACAUUAUCCUUUCCAAAUUGCUAGCCACUAUAGAAUAUUCUGGAUGGAUGCCUAGCUCAUUAAGGCAGUUUUAAAUAUGAGGAAACCCAUGAAUGAAGAACUUUGGCUGGCCUUGGUAGGCAACCUUAAGAAGGAAGAAACCUUUUGUCAUUGGGAAGAGAUGAAGGAGGGUUUCAAGGGAAAGGGGUUAGGGCUCAGUUUUGGUUGCAAUUGCAGAGACCUCCCCUUAGGGCCGUUGUAUUCGCUUCAAUAUUAUUUUCAAUGAAAUUUUUAGUUGUGCACGCUA